AUUCCUGUGGCUCAGUCGGGAGCAUUGCGUUAGCAACACAAAGGUCAUGGGUUCAACCCUCGCAGGGAAAG